rnacentral:misc_RNA from 1 species
GUUUAAGUAGAAAAAGAAUAGCAGAUUUUAUAAGAAACUUAACGCAGCAGCACGCCCAGGUGGUGCCUUCGACACUCUUCGUGGCUGUUUUGUGUAUCUGUUUGAUCAUCAGUCGCUUGUUCGAGGAAAACCAAUGGGUUAACGAGUCCAUCACCGCCAUCAUCAUUGGAUGCAUCUCUGGAAUGUUUUUCUUGGUUCUGAGCAAUGGCAAGAGUUCCCACACAUUGAGAUUCAAUGAAGAUCUCUUCUUUAUAUAUCUCCUUCCACCUAUAAUAUUCAAUGCAGGAUUUCAGGUCAAGAAAAAGCAGUGCUUCCAGAACUUUAUAACCAUUAUGCUGUGUGGGGUGGUUGGUGUUUUCAUUUCAGCCUUCAUUAUUGUAGCUGGCAGCAGGUGGUUUUUUCCAAGAUUAGGAUUUCUUGGUCUGACUGCACGGGACCAUCUUGCUGCAGGAGCAAUAUUUUCAUCAAACGAUACAGUGUGUACAUUGCAGGUCGGUUGAGUUUGAAAAUGUUCUGUCUUUUGUCAUGUCCAUCUUCUUUAAUGUGGAAUGCAGGUUCUUCGUCAAGAUGAGACUCCUUUGC